GCUGAUGUAGCUCAAUCUGGCAGAGCAGGUACCUUGUAAGUAUCAGGUUGCGGGUUCAAUUCCUGUCAUCAGCU
rnacentral:tRNA from 1 species